rnacentral:ncRNA from 15 species
UUCUUAUCCAGAGAGGUGGAGGGAAAGGCCCUUUGAAGCCUCGGCAACAGGUUGAAAAACACUGUGCCAAUUCCUGCAGACAAUCGUCUGAAAGAUAAGAG